rnacentral:rRNA from 1 species
GUGCCAGCAGCCGCGGUAAUACAGAGGGUGCGAGCGUUAAUCGGAUUUACUGGGCGUAAAGCGUGCGUAGGCGGCUUAUUAAGUCGGAUGUGAAAUCCCCGAGCUUAACUUGGGAAUUGCAUUCGAUACUGGUGAGCUAGAGUAUGGGAGAGGAUGGUAGAAUUCCAGGUGUAGCGGUGAAAUGCGUAGAGAUCUGGAGGAAUACCGAUGGCGAAGGCAGCCAUCUGGCCCAAUACUGACGCUGAGGUACGAAAGCAUGGGGAGCAAACAGG